rnacentral:rRNA from 1 species
UAAACGAUGNUAACUCGUUUUUGGAAUGUAAGUUUCAGAGACUAAGCGAAAGUGAUAAGUUAGCCACCUGGGGAGUACGAACGCAAGUUUGAAACUCAAAGGAAUUGACGGGGGCCCGCACAAGCGGUGGAUUAUGUGGUUUAAUUCGAUGAUACGCGAGGAACCUUACCAAGGCUUAAAUGGGAAAUGACAGGUUUAGAAAUAGACUUUUCUUCGGACAUUUUUCAAGGUGCUGCAUGGUUGUCGUCAGCUCGUGCCGUGAGGUGUUAGGUUAAGUCCUGCAACGAGCGCAACCCCUGUCACUGGUUGCCAUCAUUAAGUUGGGGACUCUAGUGAGACUGCCUACGCAAGUAGAGAGGAAGGUGGGGAUGACGUCAAAUCAUCACGGCCCUUACGCCUUGGGCCACACACGUAAUACAAUGGCCGGUACAGAGGGCAGCUACACUGCGAAGUGAUGCAAAUCUCGAAAGCCGGUCUCAGUUCGGAUUGGAGUCUGCAACUCGACUCUAUGAAGCUGGAAUCGCUAGUAAUCGCGCAUCAGCCAUGGCGCGGUGAAUACGUUCCCGGGCCUUGUACACACCGCCCGUCAAGCCAUGGAAGUCUGGGGUACCUGAAGUCGGUGACCGUAACAGGAGCUGCCUAGGGUAAAACAGGUAACUAGGGCU